GAUGAAGAACGCAGCGAAAUGCGAUACGUAAUGUGAAUUGCAGAAUUCAGUGAAUCAUCGAGUCUUUGAACGCACAUUGCGCCCGCCAGCCAUUCUGGCGGGCAUGCCUGUCCGAGCGUCAUUUCAACCAUCAAGCCCCGUGCUUGUGUUGGGGAGCUGCGGGCCCUCCGGGGCGCGCAGGCCCUGAAAUGCAGUGGCGGGCUCGCUGACACACCGAGCGUAGUAGCAUAAUUCUCGCUCUGGGCGUGCUGCGGGUACCGGCCGUGAAACGACCACUCGAGAGAGAGGACACCCAAAGGUUGACCUCGGAUCAGGUAGGAAUACCCGCUGAACUUAAGCAUAUCAAUAAGCGGAGGA
rnacentral:misc_RNA from 1 species